GACGAACGCUGGCGGCGUGCUUAACACAUGCAAGUCGAACGGAAAGGCCCUGCUUUUGUGGGGUGCUCGAGUGGCGAACGGGUGAGUAACACGUGAGUAACCUGCCCUUGACUUUGGGAUAACUUCAGGAAACUGGGGCUAAUACCGGAUAGGAGCUCCUGCUGCAUGGUGGGGGUUGGAAAGUUUCGGCGGUUGGGGAUGGACUCGCGGCUUAUCAGCUUGUUGGUGGGGUAGUGGCUUACCAAGGCUUUGACGGGUAGCCGGCCUGAGAGGGUGACCGGCCACAUUAGGACUAAGAUACGGCCCAGACUCCUACGGGAGGCAGCAGUGGGGAGUAUUGCACAAUGGGCGGAAGCCUGAUGCAGCAACGCCGCGUGCGGGAUGACGGCCUUCGGGUUGUAAACCGCUUUCGCCUGUGACGAAGCGUGAGUGACGGUAAUGGAUAAAGAAGCACCGGCUAACUACGUG
rnacentral:rRNA from 1 species